UUGGACCUGAUAUCAGGCAAGAUUACCCGCUGAACUUAAGCAUAUCAAU
rnacentral:rRNA from 1 species